rnacentral:rRNA from 1 species
CAGGAUUAGAUACCCUGGUAGUCCACGCCCUAAACGAUGAAUGUUAGUCGUCGGGUAGCUAGUCUAUUCGGUGAUGCAGCUAACGCAUUAAACAUUCCGCCUGGGGAGUACGGUCGCAAGAUUAAAACUCAAAGGAAUAGACGGGGACCCGCACAAGUGGUGGAGCAUGUGGUUUAAUUCGAAGAUACGCGAAGAACCUUACUUAGCCUUGACAUAUUUUAGAACUCACCAGAGAUGGAGAGGUGCCUUCGGGAGCUAAUUUACAGGUGCUGCACGGCUGUCGUCAGCUCGUGUCGUGAGAUGUUGGGUUAAGUCCCGCAACGAGCGCAACCCUCGUCACUAGUUACUAACGAUUCGGUCGAGGACUCUAGUGAGACUGCCUUCGUAAGGAGGAGGAAGGUGAGGACGACGUCAAGUCAUCAUGGCCCUUACGGCUAGGGCAACACACGUGCUACAAUGGUUGGGACAGUGAGACGCGAUACCGCGAGGUGGAGCAAAUCUAUAAACCCAAUCUCAGUUCGGAUUGUAGUCUGCAACUCGACUACAUGAAGCUGGAAUCACUAGUAAUCGUAGAUCAGCUAUGCUACGGUGAAUACGUUCCCGGGUCUUGUACUCACCGCCCGUCACACCAUGGGAGUGGGUUGCAAAAGAAGUGGGUAGCCUAACCUUCGGGAGGGCGCUCACCACUUUGUGAUUCAUGACUGGGGUGAAGUCGUAACAAGGUA